rnacentral:rRNA from 1 species
UACGAAGGGGGCUAGCGUUAAUCGGAAUUACUGGGCGUAAAGCGUGCGCAGGCGGUUUGUUAAGACAGAUGUGAAAUCCCCGGGCUUAACCUGGGAACUGCAUUUGUGACUGGCAAGCUAGAGUAUGGCAGAGGGGGGUAGAAUUCCACGUAUAGCAGUGAAAUGCGUAGAGAUGUGGAGGAAUACCGAUGGCGAAGGCAGCCCCCUGGGCCAAUACUGACGCUCAUGC